UUAUGCAUAUGGGCAUUUCCACGGUAAUAGGGUACUUCUGUGUGUGAAAGAAUAAAGCGCUUACAGAAAAAUUAAAUAAAUAUCCUGUGGCUUUCUGUGUUUUUAUUUUCAUUGUUGAUGGUAUAAAGAAAUAAAAAAGACAAUUCCAUGCACUAAUAAUGUCAUUUGGUUGUGUUGUCCUCUUUUCUUUAAUGAUUAUUAUUAAAAAUUCCAAAGUACAAUCAGUAAAUGUUGAGUGGUGUGAUUUUGAGGGUGAUGCAAAUAAAAAUUCUAAAAAGAAAUUGAUGUUUCAUGUUUUGAAAAGAGAUUUUGAUGCGGGUGGAUUACGGCAUUGAUCAUAGUUACGGCGAUUGAGCUUUAAAGAGAGAGAGUGAGAGAGUUGAAAAUUACAUUGGCUGAAUGAGAGAUUCUGUCCACCUGUGUUACGUACGUUCAGAGUGAAUUUUCCCACAAUUAUUAGUUGUGUCACCCAACAGUUUUAUGUGCUUUGCAACUCUUUUGAUGAAGGUUGAAAUGUAGACCAAGAAAAAAAUCGUCAAAAUAAACGCAAAUAGAGAUAAAAUCUAUUCAAAAUUUGGAGUGCAAUAUUCGGUCCAACUCACGAACGUACGUAACAACUAAAAAAACGGACCGUGGCGUCCGCGAAUAUGACGCAUGGAUAAUCCACGUAUCAGUCAAGUGAACCAAGGCACUGCAACGUUUGAUUGUACUUGCAAUCCAUGCGCUGACUUCUACAAUCGCGGGGCCGUGUAGCUCUAUAUAACUUCUGUCCAGUUUGUGCGUACGUUCACGGUUGCUGGUAGUUAGAACGACACGUACGCACGAUGGACAGAAAUGCUAUUCGGUCUUAUUUACGUACGUUUUUUCGCGGGGUUUCGUGAGCAGCAGACGACAUCCGAUCGUAAUCAUUGGAGUAUCAACUCAACAUUAGAUUAGAUCUAGGCUUUGAAAAUCGUGGAAUGGUGCAACCGCAACCCAAUUUAGCUCACGCAAAAAAAGCAACUGCAGUUGCCUAAAUCAAGAACAAAAAAAAACAAAUUUAUACUUACCAACAGCUUGCUUGAUUACUUAAUGUUGGUUAUCUUCAAUAAAUUGUGUUUUCUUCAAAAGGUCGCAUU
rnacentral:lncRNA from 1 species